CCCAGCCUCCUCAGGUCUUAUGGUGAGGCUUGAGGAAAAUGUGGGGCCACGUCAACACUGACAGGACCCCCGUCCUCCUCAGGACCUGCACUUUGGCUUCGGGAAAUAUGGGGCUGGGUCUAUGCUGACAGGAGCCCACAGCUUCAUCAGAACCCAGAGUGAGUUUUCUGGGGGAUGUGAGGCCAUGUCUAGGCUGACAGGAGCCCCUGGCCUCCUGAGGACUUGCUGUGAGGCUUCCAGAGGAUGUGAGGCAUAGUCCACAGUGACAGGAGACGCGGCGUCCUCUGGACCCACUGACUAUGACACAGGAACACGUGGGGCCAUGUCCGCACUCACAGGAGCCUGGCUUCCUCAGGACCCCCUGGAGGACCCUGGAGGCGCCGUUGGGGGCCACGUCCAUAUCAGAAGAGACUCCUCAGAACCACAGGUUCAGUCACUCCUCAGGAAAUGCAUCUUUAUGGAUUUGGAAAGAACUGAGAGACAUUAUUACCAAUGGUCCUAUUAUUAUGUGAAGGAUUUUUUCCUGAGAUUCUUCCCCUGUUUCAACAAACACUGAAACACUGUGAACUCCUUGGAAGACAAAUGUCAAGGAAAUAAAUGUUAUUCGUUGCAAAUUUUAAAUACA
rnacentral:lncRNA from 12 species